GGAGGGGUGGCAGAGUCUGGCUGAAUGCACUGGUCUUGAAAACCAGCAUACCGCAAGGUAUCGGGGGUUCGAAUCCCUCCCCCUCCG
rnacentral:tRNA from 1 species